AAGCUAGACUGAAAGAUUAGGAUUUUAUAAACUUUAUUACUAGUGUUGAUAGUGCUGAAAAAAGUUACUGACAACUUUCAGUAUGCAUUUUAGAUGGGGAGAAUAUCAGCAGUGUGCAGGGCCGAAUAAAACAAGUCAUCCAUCAAACUGCAAAAACCCUGUGUCCUCAUCUUUUACCCUUUUGACAGUGUUUUCUUCCUUUCCCAGUUUAUUUUGAUCUUGCAGAGUAACUCCUGUACUCAGCUGUGGAAUUUUACUCUUCCCCUGGAAAAAGCCAGCAUUGAUCUAGCAGGCAUCAGGGUCCAGGAUGACCCUUCUGUAGAUGUAUGUGCAUCUCCCGCGCAUGGCAGAGGAGGCUCUAACCUGAUCUGAAGCUGGUGGAGGAAGCAAGAAAGUGAGCACAGAGGGUGAGCCAUGAACUCCACAUUGGUGACAUCUAGAAGAAUCACAGCAGCUUUAAGCAUAUGUAACUAAUUGUCAGCACACCUGUAAGCCGUGUUUCCUGGAAGAGCUACCAUGUAUUUCUGCUGUGAUAAAGGAGUCAGACUGACGGAUGAUAUGCAUAUGGAUGUCACCUCCAGUAUAAAUACUGCAGGAAAAGAGUCUCAUCCAAGUGGAUUUUCGGUAAAUGCAACCUGUACCUGGAUUUUUUUCAUCUGCCACAAGCAAGAUUUUGUAGGCAAGGUGCUGAAAUCAGGAGGGGACUCGGUGUGUGCUGGUAGCCAUGGGAGCACGGGCAGUAAGGAGAAAGGCAGCAGAAACAGCAGCUGACUGGGAAGAGCUGGAGGAGACUACACUGGCGUGACGUGUACCGGAGCCUCCUGGGGAAGGUGGACCCGAGGAGGAGGCAGGCGUAAGGCACGCGAUAAAUGGAGAACUCCAAGGUUGGAGGAGCUUGAUCUUAGCGGAAAGGAGGUGGGUCGGUAGCAUGGUGUGGGGAGUGAGGGACUGUAGCGUGCGUUUGUGAGAAAAGGCAGGAAAGGAGGAGGCUUGCGAUAACAGAUUGGAGUGUGCGGACUUGCAGCAAAGGAGUGAGGACUUGUUACUUGGGAGAAGGAGUACUCUAAGGGGCAGGGAUGUGAUGGGAGGAGUGGGGAGCACAGCACACUGCAGACCAAAAGUCUUAAGGGUUACUUAAGGGCAGUCUAUGUCCUUACCACCUUGUAAAGCAGGCACAGGCAUGGAAGCACAGACGUGAACAGCGUUGUUCCCCACCCAUCCCUUCUAGUGCUGCUACAGGGGUGUUCUCCUCUCUCCCCUGCUCCACAUUUUUAGUUUUUGGAAAUGUGGUAGCUCAAAAUAAGUACCUUAAAUUCAGGUAAUCCAAAACACUGGGGUAAAUGUUUUUUACCUGACAAAUGUUACCUGACAUAUCCUGUAUAUUUAAUGGUGAA